rnacentral:tRNA from 1 species
GCCCCUGUCGUCUAAUUGGUAAGGACACCAGGUUUUCAUCCUGGAGACUCCGGGUUCGACUCCCGGCGGGGGUA